GCGUACACCAAAUCCCCUGAAUGCACCCGAUCUCAUCGAAUCUGGGAAGCUAAGAAGAGGGUUGAGCCUGGUUAGUACUCGGAUGGGUGACCGCCAGGGCUUUCCAGGUGUUGUAAGCU
rnacentral:rRNA from 1 species